rnacentral:misc_RNA from 1 species
ACAUGUCAAAUUUAAUUUUAAAUCAGUUUUUAAUAUCCUCUAACUAAUGAAUUUAAGAAAGUGUUUUUCUCAAUAACAGCUCCAACAGCAAUGCCAAACAACUGUGCCACCAUGCCCCAUCACUCCGUAGAUAUGCACUCCACCUGCACUGCAGCCACUACUAUUACCACCACUUCUACCAAUAUGCUCAUCACCACUGCUCUAUUCCUAAAAUUAUACAAACUUAAUGCUAUGACUACCACUAAUAGCAUCGCUAUGGAAGAUGUAAUGCCACUGCUAACAACCAAAACAAGCUCCCAAACAAAAGCCCUACAAACUAUAAUUUAUAUAGAGAAAGGAAGAGAGUCAUUCUUCUUACCAAUUCAGAUAUGAAAAAUGCCAUACUUAAAGUAAAACGCGCUAAAUUUGACAUCUAAAGGACAAGGGUUCUUGAAAUAUGCUGAUGGUUUUUUAUUGUUAAUAAACAAAGUGAAUUUAGAGAAAGAGGAUACAAAAAGAAGGAUAUGACACCCUCCUGAAGAAAAAUAAAAAGUCAAAACAAAAGCCCCUACUGACACAAAAAGGCUCCCCAAUCCUGUUGCUAAUACGAUAAAGAAAUUCCGCUUGAAAAAUAAUUAGCAGAACACCAGAAUUAAGCCAAGAAUAAUACUUUAUCCUCUGAUAAUUAUAUGAGUGGAGGAAAUGUCCCUCCAUGGGCAUGGCCUAAGGGCAAUAAUUACAAGUCAAGUACUAGACAUACCAAUUCCAAGCAGCGCAUGGUGGAUCUGAUACCAGUGACAGAGAUGUCCACAUAAAUAACACAGUAUAUAAACAUGCUUGUGAGAGUGCAUCAUUUAUUUCCCAAAAAAAAAAACUAAAUUCAGUGAUUUAUAAUGAUUUGAAAAUAAACAAAGAUGAAAAUACAAAAGCACCACACAUUUGAGCAUUUCACAAGCACAUUUAUAUAUAACUUAGUUUAGUUCUCAUGUCCCAAAAAGGAUUAUACAUGCCUUUGACUCAUAUUUUUAACUUCACCACAUUGAAACCAAGAGGAACGGAUCAUGCAGCAGCAGCUUAAAUAUUUGUUAGGGACAACCACCAUAAACAAAUCAAGUGUAAAGACCAAUGCAUCACAACAUA